CGUACACACACACACACACACACACAUAUAUAUGUAUUCAUAUAUGUGCGUGUGUGUAUGUAUAUAAUAUAUAUAUAUAUAUAUAUAUAUAUAUAUAUACAUAUGCAUACAUAUAUCUAUGUAUUGCUGCUGAGACAUCCCCCCACCCUUCGGUCAUGACUGACCGUGGGAUUACACCUAGAAAGUUGCCCUCCCAGGCACAAGUCCGGGCAAGGUUGUUUAUGGAAGACCAGCAUUCGCCCAGGCAUACCGACCUCCCCUCUCCCACGUCACCAGUGUUAUCCAAGGGAAAGUCAAAGGCCGAUACAGCUUGGCACCGGUGACGUCACAACUCAUUUCUACAGCUGUGUGAACUGGAGCAACGUGAAAUAAUAAAGUGUCUUGCUCAAGAACACAACACACAGCCCGGUCCGGUAUUCGAACUCACAACCUCAGGAUCGUGAGCUCGACGCUCUAACCACUGAGCCAUGCGCCUUUACUAUGUGUAUGUAUAUGUAUAUGUAUGUAUAUAUAUAUAUAUAUAUAUAUAUAUAUAUAUAUAUAUGAUACAUAUACAUAUAUACAUACAUAUAUACAUACAUAUAUAUAUACAUAUAUAUAUGUAUAUACAUAUACACACAUAUACAUAUAUAUAUAUAUACACAUAUGCAUAUGUAUAUAUGUAUAUAUGUAUACACGUAUGUAUAUGUGUAUAUGUAUGGAUAUAUAUAUAUAUGUAUGUAUAUAUAUAAAUAUAUGGGUAUAUAUAUAUAUAUAUAUAUAUAUAUAUACAUACACACUUACAUUGAGCAAUAUUACAUGUACAUCUCGUCAGUAUUUUCACACAAAAUAGAAAAUACAAAUCAGAGUGUUAAGUUUGCUCAGUAUAUAUAUCUCAUUUAUGCAAAUUUCCAACAUCAUCAAUGAAGUAGUAAAAUACCGGGUGACUGAGUGCUAAAUAAUUGGAUGGUAUAAACAGAAAAUAGAAAGGUCGAUGCGAGAGGAGUGCUCGAGGCCACGUUCUCUCUUACAUGCUUAGGCAGACAUAGAUACACAUUCGUAUUUAUGUGCAGACGGUUGUAUUUAUUUAUACACAAUAGAAAAAAGAGCAGAAAAGCUAUAACCCAGGGGAGACGUAGCUUAAUAGCAAGAAUUAACAAUAACAACCAAAAUCGCAAGAACAAUUUUAGCAAGAACGAAGACGACAACGACAACAAAAGCAUCUUAUUUGAAAUUGACUUUAUAAAUUUGUCAAAGGAAGUGACUGCUAAUUCUCUUCAUGUCUGAUGCAUAAUUGCUUUGUUGCUGUUUGUUCCUUCUCGAGCCGUGCCUGUCUCAUAAAGGCAGAUUUCCCGGUUUCCUUGGCGUAUAGGUUCCUCACCUGAACGGGACGACAGUCUGUCGCAGGUGAGCUGCUAGAUGCAGGAAGAAAGAGUGAGAGAAAGUUGUGGCAAAAGAGUCAGCAGGUUCGCCAUUAUCUUCUGCCGGAGCCGCGUGAAGCUUAGUUGUUUCGCUCAUAAACACACACAUCGCCCGGUCUGAGAUGCGAACUCGCGAUCCUUCAACCCGCAAGUCCGCUACUUUAACCACUAGGCCAUUCUGCCGGAGCCGCGUGGAGCUUAGGUGUUUCGCUCAUAAACACACACAUCGCCCGGUCUGAGAUGUGAACUCGCGAUCCUUCAACCCGCAAGUCCGCUGCUUUAACCACUAGGCCAUGUACCUCCACGAUGCAUAAGUGUAGCUGAUAUUAUUGCUAUGUUUGUUAUCAUUGUUGCUGUUGUUGUGGCUGAUAAUUGUUGUUAUUGUUGCUCACAUUGCUAUUGAGUUUACGUUACUGUUGGUUAUCUUUUCUUUUUCUCCUCUGUAUUGUGUAUAUACGUGACCCGUUGUGAGUACUUGUGUGUAUCUAUGUCAACCUCAGUGGCCUUCAGCACCCUUUUCGUAUCGAACUUUCUAUCUUCUAUUUUCUCCAUCCAACUACUUAGGACUUUGUCAUGAUGUGUUCUGUAUUGUGAGUAAUUUGCAUAAGUAUGGUAUAUAACUAAAACCCUAUAUUUUGUAUAUUUCUCUGAAAACACUGGCAAUGAUAGAAUGGUAAGAUUGUGUAAUUUUGUCAGUUCAGUUCUGAAACGUGUGGAGAAUUCUUUUAUAAAGACUGAUAUGCCAAAUGCAUUUUCUGUAUUUUUGUUAAUACUAUCUAUCUAUCUAUCUAUCUAUCUAUCUAUCUAUCUAUCUAUCUAUCUAUCUAUCUAUCUAUCUAUCUAUCUAUCUAUCUAUCUAUCUAUCUAUCUAUAUGUAUAUAUAUAUAUAUAUAUAUAUAUAUAUAUAUAUAUAUAUAUAUAUAGAGAGAGAGAGAGAGAGAGAGAGAGAAAAUGAGAACAUUGCCCCGAAAGUAAUACAAAAUAGUAGGCAUAACUUUUCUAUUGGUUAACAUAGGUCGUUAAAAUUGAUUAUGUUAAUAGAAUGGUGGCACUUUCUUUAUAACAAAUCUUUCUGCUCUUCUUUGUAGGAAAAUGAUGGGCUGGAAGCAGAAGCAAUAAAUCGCCAUUGAUCUCUUGGCGAAGAAAGGAUGCAGACUGUUCGAUAUCCGCAGAAAGCUGCAAGUUGUUACUGAAAUUACGCUACAGCCAACAAGAUGGACGCAUCUAUUUGUCGGAUAGCCUAUAUUUUGGAAAAGGAGAUUUGGUUCUUAGUGAGGUGGCAUACAUCUUCUCCGAAGCCUGAGAAUUUCAAGAGCCAGCGAUGGGCUCAAAGUCACAGUGACUGUUCUUUGGGAUGGCAAAAGCGACAUUUUCCGUGAUUUUCGUUUGUAACGUGAACAGGUGUAUAUUGAGACACAUAAAAACCUCAGUGACGGCAUUAAGUGAAAGAGACCAAAGAAGAAUUUGGAAACGUUUCACAUUCACCAUAACGGUGUGUGACGACAUCUUUUGCAAGGAUCAAGUAAUCAGCGAAUUGUUCCCUUAGUCGACGUGCAACCUGGUUUGUCCCAUUUCGAUUUUCGUUUGUUCGAUGAACUGAAAAAAAAUUGUGGAAGACGAGGAUUUGAUGACACAGACGAUGCCAAAAUGGCUGUGGAGAAGUUAGCAAAAUAGUGCAUACCCUAAUUAUGACAACGAAGAUCUAAAGGUUGGGUUCAACUUUGGCGUAAGUGCAUCGCUUGUAAUGGAGAAUAUGGUAAUAUCUGUGUAUAGAGAAAGAGUUACUCAACAAGCAUGUACUCUUGGAAUGACCUUCGUCACACAAUAUGGGUUCUGCUCAUAUUUGCAUAAGAUUUGGGGACGACCCUUCUAUUUACAUAUCGACGCACAGACAUAUAUAGUGUCAUGCAUACAAAUGGCAUAUAAAAUUAACAUUAUACACACACACACAUAUACACACACAAGCACACACAUAUAUAUAAAUGUGUGUAUUUAUAUGAGCAUAUUGCGUAUAUAUAGAUACACCGUCUUUUAAUAAUCAUGUAUAUAAUUAUUAAAAUAUUUGUAAAAUUUA
rnacentral:lncRNA from 1 species